rnacentral:rRNA from 1 species
UACGUAGGGUGCGAGCGUUGUCCGGAAUUAUUGGGCGUAAAGAGCUCGUAGGCGGUUUGUCGCGUCUGCUGUGAAAACUGGGGGCUCAACCCCCAGCCUGCAGUGGGUACGGGCAGACUAGAGUGCGGUAGGGGAGAUUGGAAUUCCUGGUGUAGCGGUGGAAUGCGCAGAUAUCAGGAGGAACACCGAUGGCGGAAGGCAGAUCUCUGGGCCGUAACUGACGCUGAGGAGCGAAAGCGUGGGGAGCAAACAGG